rnacentral:misc_RNA from 1 species
CCGAGCGUCAUUUCAAACCAUCAAGCUCGGCUUGGUCUUAGACGAGGUUGAUUUUCGACCCGUCCUCAAACUCAACGGCGAUCACGUCCGGCCUCGAGCGUAGCAGAAAAUUCUCGCUCAGUGGUUUGGAAGGCGAUUCGCCAGAAACUUUCUCUCUGAAUUUUGACCUCGGAUCAGGUAGGGAUACCCGCUGAACUUAA